rnacentral:rRNA from 1 species
UACAGCUAGCUUGCCGGAAGCUGUAACUCUCACAUAGUUGCCCACUGAAGCUAAGCAGGGCAGCACCCAAGCUGUACCUGGAUGGGAGACUACAUGGGAAAGCCAGGUUGCUGCUGGAA